GUCCAAAGUGUUGAGUUCAGUUCCGGGCAUUCUCCCCGGUCCUGGUAAUUUAACUUUGGCACAGGAGAUGGCUGGAGUGCAGGGUUUGUUGGUGAAGUAGUCGUCUGCGCCAUUUUGCCCCACUCCUGCCUACAUGC